UGGGGAAUAUUGGGCAAUGGGCGCAAGCCUGACCCAGCAACGCCGCGUGAGGGAAGAAGGCUUUCGGGUUGUAAACCUCUGUCCUUGGUGACGAAAAAAAUGACGGUAGCCAAGGAGGAAGCCCCGGCUAACUACGUGCCAGCAGCCGCGGUAAUACGUAGGGGGCGAGCGUUGUCCGGAAUUACUGGGCGUAAAGGGUGCGUAGGUGGCCUUUUAAGUUGGAUGUGAAAGCCCCGGGCUUAACUUGGGUUGUGCAUCUAAUACUGGAGGGCUAGAGUGCAGGAGAGGGAAGCGGAAUUCCUAGUGUUGCGGUGAAAUGCGUAGAUAUUAGGAGGAACACCAGUGGCGAAGGCGGCUUUCUGGACUGUAACUGACACUGAGGCACGAAAGCGUGGGGAGCAAACA
rnacentral:rRNA from 1 species